UACGUAGGUGGCAAGCGUUGUCCGGAUUUACUGGGCGUAAAGAGCGCGCAGGCGGUCGUUUAAGUCGAAUGUGAAAGCCCCCGGCUCAACUGGGGAGGGUCAUUCGAUACUGAUCGACUUGAAGGCAGGAGAGGGAAGUGGAAUUCCGGGUGUAGUGGUGAAAUGCGUAGAUAUUCGCAAGAACACCAGUGGCGAAGGCGGCUCACUGGCCCGGUACUGACGCUGAGGUGCGAAAGCGUGGGGAGCAAACAGG
rnacentral:rRNA from 1 species